rnacentral:rRNA from 1 species
GUGGGGAAUAUUGGGCAAUGGGCGAAAGCCUGACCCAGCAACGCCGCGUGAAGGAAGAAGGUUUUCGGAUCGUAAACUUCUAUCCUUGGUGAAGAUAAUGACGGUAGCCAAGAAGGAAGCCCCGGCUAACUACGUGCCAGCAGCCGCGGUAAUACGUAGGGGGCAAGCGUUGUCCGGAAUGAUUGGGCGUAAAGGGCGCGUAGGCGGCCUGGUAAGUCUGGAGUAAAAGUCCUGCUUUUAAGGUGGGAAUUGCUUUGGAUACUGGCGGGCUUGAGUGCAGGAGAGGUAAGUGGAAUUCCCGGUGUAGCGGUGAAAUGCGUAGAGAUCGGGAGGAACACCAGUGGCGAAGGCGACUUACUGGACUGUAACUGACGCUGAGGCGCGAAAGUGUGGGGAGCAAACAGGAUUAGAUACCCGGGUAGUCC